AGCGAACGCUGGCGGCAGGCUUAACACAUGCAAGUCGAACGGACAUCUUCGGAUGUCAGUGGCAGACGGGUGAGUAACACGUGGGAACGUACCCUUCGGUUCGGAAUAACUCAGGGAAACUUGAGCUAAUACCGGAUACGCCCUUUUGGGGAAAGGUUUACUGCCGAAGGAUCGGCCCGCGUCUGAUUAGCUUGUUGGUGGGGUAACGGCCUACCAAGGCGACGAUCAGUAGCUGGUCUGAGAGGAUGAUCAGCCACACUGGGACUGAGACACGGCCCAGACUCCUACGGGAGGCAGCAGUGGGGAAUAUUGGACAAUGGGCGCAAGCCUGAUCCAGCCAUGCCGCGUGAGUGAUGAAGGCCUUAGGGUUGUAAAGCUCUUUUGUCCGGGACGAUAAUGACGGUACCGGAAGAAUAAGCCCCGGCUAACUUCGUG
rnacentral:rRNA from 1 species